rnacentral:rRNA from 1 species
UUGAACGCUGGCGGCAGGCCUAACACCUGCAAGUCGAGCGGAUGAAGGGAGCUUGCUCCUGGAUUCAGCGGCGGACGGGUGGGUAAUGCCUAGGAAUCUGCCUGGUAGUGGGGGAUAACGUCCGGAAACGGGCGCUAAUACCGCAUACGUCCUGAGGGAGAAAGUGGGGGAUCUUCGGACCUCACGCUAUCAGAUGAGCCUAGGUCGGAUUAGCUAGUUGGUGGGGUAAAGGCCUACCAAGGCGACGAUCCGUAACUGGUCUGAGAGGAUGAUCAGUCACACUGGAACUGAGACACGGUCCAGACUCCUACGGGAGGCAGCAGUGGGGAAUAUUGGACAAUGGGCGAAAGCCUGAUCCAGCCAUGCCGCGUGUGUGAAGAAGGUCUUCGGAUUGUAAAGCACUUUAAGUUGGGAGGAAGGGCAGUAAGUUAAUACCUUGCUGUUUUGACGUUACCAACAGAAUAAGCACCGGCUAACUUCGUG